UGGGGAAUAUUGGACAAUGGGCGAAAGCCUGAUCCAGCCAUGCCGCGUGUGUGAAGAAGGUCUUCGGAUUGUAAAGCACUUUAAGUUGGGAGGAAGGGCAGUAAGCGAAUACCUUGCUGUUUUGACGUUACCGACAGAAUAAGCACCGGCUAACUCUGUGCCAGCAGCCGCGGUAAUACAGAGGGUGCGAGCGUUAAUCGGAUUUACUGGGCGUAAAGCGUGCGUAGGCGGCUUUUUAAGUCGGAUGUGAAAUCCCCGAGCUUAACUUGGGAAUUGCAUUCGAUACUGGGAAGCUAGAGUAUGGGAGAGGAUGGUAGAAUUCCAGGUGUAGCGGAGAAAUGCGUAGAGAUCUGGAGGAAUACCGAUGGCGAAGGCAGCCAUCUGGCCUAAUACUGACGCUGAGGUACGAAAGCAUGGGGAGCAAACAGG
rnacentral:rRNA from 1 species